AUUUCACAUUCCAAAAACCCUACUCCACCCCUCAACUCUAAACCCUAAGUCUAUAUUAGUUAAUCCUAAGGGUAUAAUUGUCUUUUACUCUUCAUUAAAAGUGAAGAUAGAAGUGGUUAGUAUAAACAUGAAAAAUGGUACUAUGAAUGUGCUAUUUGUGGCAAUUUCCCAUAUUUUUAAAAUAAGCUAUAAUAUAUUGUACUUCAAAAUAAUUUUGUAGUAAUGAUCUUAUUUGAGAAAUUACUUGAAAUACACUAAUUUCGGUAAAAUAGUUUUAUUUUUUUAUUGGAAAUAGAAAUGGAUCUUUCUAACAAAAUCUUUUGAAAAUCUUUGUAAAAUGUAUUUUAGAAAAUUAAUCAUUUAAUUUUUAAAUAUCAUUAAAAUAUAGUUAAUAAUAUUUUUAUAUUUUUUUAAAAAAUAUAUAUAAAUAAAAACUAAAUUAGAUUAUAAUUUCUAGUUAUAGUUUAUUAUUAUUUAAAUUUAAAUUAAUUACUUGUUAAGUAAAUUUUAAAAUGAUUCUGAAUUCUUUUUAAAAGUAUUUUGUUAGAAUGUUCUAAUAUAUAUUUAUUUGUAUUUCAUAUAAAAAGAUGAAGAUAUUAAAUCAUGGCUAUAUUAAUAAUGUGUAUUAUAGUUCUCUUGAACUCUAGGUGAAAGAAUACAGUUUAUAAUGUUCCUUUUUAAUUAAUAGCUACAAUUAAAUUUAAAUAAUAUGUCGCACGUUAAAAAAAAAGAAGAAGCAUAUGUUUAGGAAGGAAAUCAGGAAAAUAUCUCAUUAAUAAUACGUUUACUUAGUUGUUUAGGAAAAUAAAAGACUAAAAUGCAACCAUAAUUACUGUUAUGAUAUUAUUAUGCAAAUAGAAAAUUUCAUCAAAGUAAUUAUCUAAUAGAAGGUCCAACUUAAAAAAAUUACACAUAAAAAAAAGUGGUGACUUCUGUUUUAAUAUAUAAGAUAUAAUAGAUUCGCGUGACAACCUUAAACAAUCAAUUUGUUAUCGCUGAAAAGGUUUCGUCCUAAACAUCAUCGGCCGUCUGUUGAUAUUACUUAGAGUGUGAUCGGUAAUUUUGGAGUAAAUAAGAGAAAAAUAAAAAGGUGAAAUAUAAGAGUGACUGGUAAAUAUUAGCAUAAAUUAGAGUAAUUAUAAUAGAGUAAACUGGUGAAAAAGUAACAGAGUAAACUAGAUGAAAUAUGAGAAAAGAAAUGAUAAAAAACAAACAAAAAAAAAAGUUAGUGGCAAGAAAAGGUUUCCCUCCUCAAAAACUACGAUGGAAAAAAAAGGUCACAUUACCUCUAUUUAAACAGUGACCAGCGUAAAUGAAUAAAAUAUCAUUAAUUCUUUAUUUCAUCUGAUUGGUAAACAGACCAGCAGAAUUGAGAGUAAUAUGUUUUUAGCUGAAUUAUUAUCGCCAAAAGUGACGUACAGUCAUACCCUAGUGAAAAGGUUAAAAUGAGAGAGAGGAAAAUAGAGUAAAUGGGUGAAAAAUAAAUUAAAUUAAGUUUCACUCAUGUGUAGAGAGAGAGGAAAAUAGAGUAAAUGGGUGAAAAAUAAAUUAAAUUAAGUUUCACUCAUGUGUAGAGUAGUGUAACAUUUUAUUCCAUUUCAAUAGUAGUGGAAGUAAAUAAAUAAAAAUAUAUUUUCACCUGAUUGGUGAUUUAUGAGAGUAACUGGGAAUAACUAAGUUUUCCACUCAAAUAUUUACUCUAAAAGUACCUUUCAGUCAUAUACUUAGGUAUGAUUGGUAACUUUAGAGUAAAUCAAAAUAAAAAUUAAAAGUGUGAUUGGUAACUGGUAAGUAGUAGAGUAAAUAGGAAUAAUUAAAGUAGAGUAAAUAUGAAUAAAAGUGAUAGUAAAUAAAAAAAAGCGUUGGAAUAAACAAAUAAAUGAAUAAUAAAAGUUAGAAGCAGAGUAAAUGAUUUCCUCUCUAUAAACUACGAUGGAAAAAGGUAACUAGUAUACCUUGGUUUAAACAGUAGCGAGCGAAACAUAAUUGAAUAUGAUUAAAUUUGUUUUCCACUUGAUUGGUAAAUUCACCGGCUGAAGUGAGUGGAAUAAGAUUCCAGCUGAAAUAUUAUCGCUAAACUUGACAUACAAUCAUAGCUUAAAGGUCGAAAAUGGAGUAAAACUAAAAUGUGGAAACCAAUAAAAUAAAAAGAAAUAAGAAAAAAGUGUAUUACUCUAGCAAAAGAGAGAGUAAAGUUGGGUGUGUAUUUCUAUUUAUUUGAAUAGUGAGUAGAAUAAAAAAGAAAUAAAUGAUUUCUACCUGAUUGGUGAGUUAUUCGUAAAACACAGAGUAAAUAAAUAACUUCUUGGAGUAAAAGUUGUGCUAGAGUGACUAUACAAUCACAACCUUAUAUGUUCUUUUUCAUAAGAACAAAAUGCUAUAUCUGAAUAAACAUAAGAUUUGUUUGUGUGCUUAAUUGUGAUUCUUGUUUUUAAACAUUUUGAGAAUGAAGAAUUUUCUUUUUAGGGCUACAACGAAAGUUACGGUUAACAGUAUAAUUAAACGAAAAGUUGAUUAAAGAAAGAGGAUUAAUUAGAGAAAAAUUAGAGAAGUGUCCAAUGAUUCAGGGAACAGGUGUCCCUUUUGGCAACGACUACUUCAGUCUUUUCUUGUUCUGAAUUAAUUACUUGAUCUCAACCAACUAAUGACCUAAGUUUUUUAUUUUUUUUUGUAAAAAUUAAUGACCUAAGUUUUAAACACCAAAAGGUCCAAAACUAUCCGAUUUUGGAAUCUUAAUGGCAUGUUUGUAACUUAUCCAACUUUCCCUGGUAAAAAAAUAGUACAUGCAAAUUUGUUUAGCAUAAUAUCAAAAAUUAUCAUGUUAAUAAAUAAAUAGAAUAUGACGUAACAUAAACAACUUGAAUGAGAAUAACCACAUUUUGAAAUGUUUGUCACUGAUUGUAUCGAAUGGUUUUAACUAAUUGAAGAAAUGUCAAAAACUAAAUAAAGUAAUAUUAGAUACGAUAAUGUGGUUUACGCAUUAGCUUUAGAUUUUAGUUAGUUAGAUAGAACCAGUUUGUACCAAUAAAUUAUAAUUGUAUAUAAUAACUUGUACAUCGACAUUUUACUCCGAACAGAAUCAUUAAUCAAAAUUUCCAAGAUUCUUUUUUCAUCUUUAUCUCAUUCAGGAUAGCUUCAGUUUCUGUUCAACAUCAAACCUCAAAUCUACUAAAAUUAAUAUGAACGAUACUACUACUUAUACGUGAUGUCGUGAAUUCAUUCCAUGGUUCCAUCAUUUCACAAAUUAUCAAAAACCUAUAGUAUAUUCAUCUUAUGUAGGCUUACCAGCCCAGUUACAAAGGGCCCAUUUUGUUGUAACGUAUCUUGCGUCUAUCGUAUUCUUUGGAGUUCAAACCGACUGUAAAUCCACAAAGAGCCUUUUUAGUUUUGUUACUAGGUGAUAACCCGCGCCUUGCGCGGAGUGAAUUGACUCGGUGAUUUAAUGUUUGACAUCCAAAAUAAAGUCUGUAUUUGCAAUAUAUGAUUGAUAAAGUAGGACUUUAUAACACCGGAAGAAAGUUUCAAGAACGGUAAAAACAUAUUUAAACAAUAAAAUAAGUCUUUUAUAACUUAAAAGCUCAUUUAUUAUUAAGAUGCAUAAUUAAAGAAUUUAUCAUAAUAGUUCUUAAGUAAGAUAUUGAAAGCCAAAACAAAAAUAUAAAUGUGAAUAGAAUACUAAUAAAACGAAAAAAUCUCCAGUGUGGAGCUGCGCACCUUAGCGAGCUUGGUCAUGUCUCGGUUCUAAGAUACAGAGUGUACUCUGCUUCAAAGUGUUCUCGUCGAGAUGAAUAGUCAUGUCUCUCUUCUAAGAGAAAAGAGUGGGUUAUAUAGUUCAUACAAUAUAUACACGUUCAAGAACCAUUAUGCAGUGUGGAUGAAAAAUGCUUAGCGAGCUCGGUGAUGUAUCGUUUCUAAGAUUCAGAGUGUUCUCUUCUUGAAAGUGUUCAUGCUGAGUUCUUCGCCGAUAUGAAUGUUUAUAUCUCCCGUAUAAGAGAAAAGUUAAUUACGUCUUCAUCUUCUCGAUUCUGUGUUUCUAACUUACAUGUGUUACUAUCUAGUGCUUCGCGAUAUGCACUCACAGAGCACACCCGUAUUUGUUCUGGAAAGUCUUCAUGAUGGGAAAUAAUCUUUACGAUGGUACGGUGAUGUCGUAGCUUAAGCUUUACGUGAUAACUCAUUCCACGAGUGGUUUUUUUAAUUUUCUAGAUCAAUGAAACGUUUCCAAAAAUUCUAUAAUAGCAAAACCAAUUAAGGCAACUAAUUUGUGAGAGUCUCUGUACAAUGGACACGUGUCAUACAUGGUGUGAAAGCAUUAACUCCAAUGCUCCUCUUUUAAUAUAUAAGGGAUUUUAUGAAAACAUCGUCAACAAGUUCUUCAUUAUUCACGCCACGUUCCUAUCAGCAGUACGUAGUAACUAGUAACCCAUUCUUAACAUGGUAUACCACAAAGGAGUUAGCUUUACUGGCUUGGUAAACCUUUAACAUUAUAUAUAUCUGCCUUGAUCCAGUGGCAGCUAUGUCGAGAGUAUGUAGGAGAAGGCAAGACGCUCACGUAGAUUGUUUGUUCCAUUGAUUCGAUCUAGAGUCUGCAUUUCACGUCAAAUUUGAAACCUGCAAGGCUGCACGUUCGCUUCUUGUGUCAAAAUGAUCACCGUUGAAGAGAAGAAGAAUUAGAGGGAUACGUGGUUAGCUGCAUGCACAAGUAGUCUUUUAUUUUUGUAACACUCAUGUUUAAAAAAUAAGAGAAAACUAAGUGGGGAGUUGGACCGAGCUAAUCACUAGUCUACCACGUCCGGUGGUCACAACUGAUCAUUUCUGCAUGUUAUAUAGGCAAUCCGGCCCGCAGAAGCAGCUCACGUCCCGGGGCCGGCUUAACUAUGCGGGCGAAAUAAAUAAGUAUAAAUAUGACCACCCCGGGUCCAUCAAAUUAAGAGUCCAAAUUUUUCAAAAAAUAAUUUUUUUUAGAAUUUUUUAUGAAGAAAUAAAUAAGUAUAAAUAUGUUUAAAUAACUUUUAUUUUAUAUGUUUUUACAUCUAAAGUUAAUAAUAUUUUAUACAAUAUAGUUUUUUAAAAAAUAUGCUUAAAUGUUUUCUAUAUAAUUACUAAAGGGUCUAAAAAUAUUUUUGCCCAAAGGACCUUAAAAACUAUGAGCCGGCCCUGCAUGUCCGAACGAUGAAAUAUAUAGUUGUAUUGAUCAAAGGGUCUUUAACUGAUCUGAUAGAGGACUAAAAACUCUCGAGAUCUCCCGUAAGUGUAGAUAUACUCUCUCGACACUCGAGUCAAGGGAGCCUACGUACAUAUAUUCUUUAUAUAUUUCUUAUGUCAUAUGUGAGACUAACGAUACUACUCGUCAAUUAGUUUGUUUGACUAAGUUUCACUUUGAACACUAAUUAGAUUUGUACAACAAUUAAUCAUAUUAAUUGAUGAAUCUUUAAAAAAUACUACUCCUGAGCUAACCAUGUAGUCCGGACCAGGGCUGGAUCUAGAUUUAAAUAUAGAUGGGGGCGGGACAUAAAUAAAUUUCACAUUGUAUUAAAUUUUUGAUGGGGGCAUUCUAUAUACUUCGUAUAAAAUAUUAAAGAAAAAUAACAAAUUAGUUGGGGAACGUGCCCCGGUACGUUAACCCUUAAGUCCGCCCCUGGUCUGGACCGGACUCAAGUUGGAAAUAUACUAGACAAUCGGAGUGGACAAAACUAACAUAUGUGAAUUUCAUGGAUCUAAAGCUGAAUGGGUCUGUCUUGACCGAGUAACCGGAUUGAUAUCACUACGGCACGCCGGGACUAGACUUGGCGAGGAGAAAAUGUUGACCAAGGCACACCAAUUUAUAGGUUAACUAACAUGAAAAUAUAAGAGUUUAAAAUCUGAAUUAUAACACAGGGCAUUUCCAAUUGUUUUUUACUAAACUUUUGGCAUUUCCAAUUUUUACCUUCAUUUUUUUCUUUCAAAAUGAAUAAAUUCUAUCAUUAAUAUUUAUUACUAAUUUUAAUACUUUUUGUUAUUUAUAAACUUACAAAUCUUAUCAAAAUAAAAUUUUCUUUUAAUUAAAUAUUUAUUUUAUAUACAUAAAUGUGGUUAUUCAUUUUUUAGUAUUUUUAAGUUGUGAGUUCUUUUGUCUAUAAUUCAUUAAUAUUUAACCAAAAAUUAGCAAUAAUAUGUAUAAUAACUUGUUGUUCAAAAAUUAUCCUCUCCAUCGUUUUAUAAGUUUGCUAUAACAAAUUCUAUGUUGCGACGGUUUAUAAUUGGGGAAAUUUUACUUAUACACUUUCUUUGGUACCACAUUUCAAGUAUACUACAAGUAUGGGGACAUUUUCACAAAUACACUUUUCAUUAAUGACCAAAAGACCAUACUAGCCCUAACCUAAUUCUCUCUCGCGAUCCUCUUCUCUUCCUCUCUCCCUCUCUCUCUGCGAUCUUUUUUCUUCCUCUCUGCCUCCGAUUCACCGGAGAUCCACCGUCUCUCUCUCAUUCCACCGGUGCGGUUCUCGUGGCAGAAAAUUUUCAGGCUUUCUAUAUCGAUUUUGAAUGUUUGGUUACUUUAACAGCCUCCUUGUGUGGAUGGAUCUGGAAAUUGAAAAUUGAAUAGCUUUGGUUCUGUUGAGAGAAGCAGCAGAGUUGAGGAGAUCAUGACACUGACAGAGCAAGUGUUACAUGUUCCAUGAGCUAUAUGGUUGAAGUUGGGAAGAGUUGAGCCUGGUUGAAUUUUCCAACACUGCUAUGAAAGUGAGAUUACUGUGUGUUUUCAAAUUUUGACUCGCUUACCUUUUAAAUUAAAUCACUGAUUUGUGCUUCUUAUUUUAUACACAAGGAAACUGGAACAUCGUUGCAGACGUUGACUUCAGCUGCUACCAUGGAGCGUCUUGGUGGAGGUAAUAUCGUCCAGCCUUCUCUGUCUACGAGAGAUGCACUGGAUAAGUAUCAUAUUGUUACGCAGAAGGUUAGUAAAGUGGCUAUUUAUACUUUUUUACAAUUACUAAAUUAGUUUUGGCUUCUCUAUAUUAUGUGGUUGACUUCGUGAAACUGUUUCAGAUGGAGGACUUAGUGGCUAAUAAUUCAGGAGAUGGUGAAAUUCAGGUACUUGAGUUCCUAGUGCAUAAGUUGUUAUAGUGAAGUUUCAUUUUCCAUUUUGUGUUCACCUAUAAUUAAUGGAAUUUUGAGUUUUUUAAAUAUUUUGUAAUUUUGGGAAAUGGUUUGGUGGUUUUUGGCCAUUUAAUGUCUAUCUGUUUUGACAUUGAUUCAUUCAUUGAUGAUCUCAUUAAUUUUUCAGUA